AUGAACGCUGGCGGCGUGCCUAAUACAUGCAAGUCGAGCGAACAGACGAGGAGCUUGCUCCUCUGACGUUAGCGGCGGACGGGUGAGUAACACGUGGAUAACCUACCUAUAAGACUGGGAUAACUUCGGGGAAACCGGAGCUAUUACCGGAUAUUAUAUUAAACCGCAUGGUUCAAUAUUGAAAGACGGUUUGGCGUUCACUUAUAGAUGGAUCCGCGCCGCAUUAGCUAGUUGGUAAGGUAACGGCUUACCAAGGCAACGAUGCGUAGCCAACCUGAGAGGGUGAUCGGCCACACUGGAACUGAGACACGGUCCAGACUCCUACGGGAGGCAGCAGUAGGGAAUCUUCCGCAAUGGGCGAAAGCCUGACGGAGCAACGCCGCGUGAGUGAUGAAGGUCUUCGGAUCGUAAAACUCUGUUAUUAGGGAAGAACAAAUGUGUAAGUAACUAUGCACGUCUUGACGGUACCUAAUCAGAAAGCCACGGCUAACUACGU
rnacentral:rRNA from 1 species